rnacentral:rRNA from 1 species
AUUGACCACUGCGGCAGGCUUACCACAUGCAAGUCGAGCGAGCGGCGGACGGGUGAGUAAUGCUUAGGAAUCUGCCUAUUCGUGGGGGACAACCUCUCGAAAGGGCUGCUAAUCCCGCAUCCUAAUCGAUGAGCCUAAGUCGGAUUAGCUAGUUGGUGGGGUAAAGGCCUACCAAGGCGACGAUCUGUAGCGUGUCUGAGAGGAUGAUCCGCCAUACUGUGACGUAGCGACGGCCCAGAAUCCUACGGUAGGCAUGAGUGGGGAAGAUUGGACAAUGGGGGGAAGCCUUAUCCAGCCAUGCCGCGUGUGGGAAGAAGUCCGUAGGGUGGUAAAGCACUUUAAGCGAGGAGGCGGUACUCGCAGAAUAAGCACCGGCUAACUCUGUGCCAGCAGCCGCUGUAAUAC